AACCGCCGUAUACCGAACGGUACGUACGGUGGUGUGAGAGGACGGGGGCUAGGCGCCCCCUCCUACUCGAU
rnacentral:ncRNA from 1 species